AUUGAACGCGGGCGGCAUGCUUUACACAUGCAAACACGGCCGGCAGCGGGGGUGCUUGCACCUGCCGGCGAGUGGCGAACGGGUGAGUAACAUAUUGGAAUGUACCGAGUAAGUGGGGGAUAACCAAUCGAAAGAAUGGCUAAUACCCGCAUACGUCCUGAGGGGGAAAGCAGGGGAUCUUCGGACCUUGCGCUAUUUGAGCAGCCAAUAUCUGAUUAGCUAGUUGGUGGGGUAAAGGCCCACCAAGGCGACGAUCAGUAGCGGGUCUGAGAGGAUGAUCCGCCACACUGGGACUGAGACACGGCCCAGACUCCUACGGGAGGCAGCAGUGGGGAAUUUUGGACAAUGGGGGCAACCCUGAUCCAGCCAUGCCGCGUGUCUGAAGAAGGCCUUCGGGUUGUAAAGGACUUUUGUUAGGGAAGAAAAGGGAAGUGUUAAUACCACUUUUUGCUGACGGUACCUAAAGAAUAAGCACCGGCUAACUACGUGCCAGCAGCCGCGGUAAUACGUAGGGUGCGAGCGUUAAUCGGAAUUACUGGGCGUAAAGCGAGCGCAGACGGUUACUUAAGCAGGAUGUGAAAUCCCCGGGCUCAACCUGGGAACUGCGUUCUGAACUGGGUAGCUAGAGUAUGUCAGAGGGGGGUAGAAUUCCACGUGUAGCAGUGAAAUGCGUAGAGAUGUGGAGGAAUACCGAUGGCGAAGGCAGCCCCCUGGGAUAAUACUGACGUUCAUGCUCGAAAGCGUGGGUAGCAAACAGG
rnacentral:rRNA from 1 species